rnacentral:rRNA from 1 species
CCUACGGGCGGCAGCAGUGAGGAAUAUUGGUCAAUGGGCGGAAGCCUGAACCAGCCAAGCCGCGUGAGGGAAGAAGGUGCCGCGCAUUGUAAACUUCUUUUGUCAGGGGACAAAGUCAGGGACUAGAGCCUGGCUGAGGGUACCUGAAGAAAAAGCAUCGGCUAACUCCGUGCCAGCAGCCGCGGUAAUACGGAGGAUGCGAGCGUUAUCCGGAUUUAUUGGGUUUAAAGGGUGCGGAGGCGGCCUGUUAAGUCAGCGGUAAAAGCCCGGGGGUCAACCCCGGCGUGCCGUUGAUACUGGCUGGGUGGAGAUGUGGAGAGGUAGGCGGAAUGCGCGGUGAAGCGGUGAA